CAACAACUUCCACCUGACAUACCUUUUCAGUUGUUUGUUAAAGCGUUUAGUGCCUAAACAAAUUAUGGGUUUUCUGUGUUGCUUACCUAACAUAUGGUAUUGUCUUGGUUGAUCCAMGUUCUUUUUCAUCUUGUGUAAUACUUUUGACAUCAGAUGAACCUUAAAGUUGUCUCUUUGAACCACCACACCAAAGAUGGCGUGUGUGUUGAUGUAGUGGCGCAUUGAGAACUGCUUGGUGUCUUUGAUAUGGAACCUGUUGCGGGCACAGGGUCACAUGUGAUCCAUGUUAUGUCCUCAUUUAGUGCUUAUGCUUUUAUAAAAUGACUGCUUGACUGCAUUGGUUUUGUACCAGCGUGUUGGGUUUGUCAAAGAGGAAAGUUACCUGGU
rnacentral:misc_RNA from 1 species